AGAAAAAACUUCCGAUCAUUAAACAUUUUAAGUUUGAGCAUACUAACAACAUGAACCUUGUAAGCCUGGUCGUUAUCGAGUCGAACAAAUGUAUUUUUGACACCAAUCAAUUUCUCCAAAGGUAUAUCAAAUUCUAAGAACUCUAAAAAAUUUCUACUUUUGCGUCUCUAACUAGAAUUACCACAUCUUCCCUAUCUCUUUCUCUC
rnacentral:lncRNA from 1 species